UAAAGUUGACCCCGAAAAAAAGGGUGAACGAAAAGACAUUUGCCUUUUCUCACUGUUCUCUCUAACUAAAGCUUAAACAGUUAGGGUUGGCGACUAGCAACUGGGGACAUGGAUGAUGACGAGUGGGGUCCCGAUAAAGAGGAAGAAGGUGGCACCGUGGCCGCGGUAGAGGAGGGGAAACCCAAAGAAGUGAGAAGGCAUUAGUAGAUUCGUUCUAUGGGACCGAUCGUGGGUUGACGGAGACUAGCGAAACGAGCAGAAAUUGUUGAGCUUAUCACACAGCUUGAAGCUAAGAAUUCGACUCCCACACUGACUGAGGCGUUAACUUUGCUUAACGACAAAUGGAUUCUUGCUGCAAGUAUACAUCCUUUUCCUGUUUGUUCCCCUUAUUGUCAAGGGGUUCAUUGCAAUUGGCGAGAGUGGAGGUAUCUCAGACAAUUGACUCAUUAAUUGGUGAGGGCUCAUAUGGAAGAGUGUAUUUCAGUGUUGUGAGAAGUGGGCAGCUGCAGCCAUCAAGAAAUUAGAUUCCAGUAAGCAACCAGACCUGGAAUUUCUAGCACAGGUUUCCAUGGUAUCAAGACUUAAACAAGAAAAUGUUGUUGAGCUUGUUGGUUAUUGCAUUGAUGGCCCUCUACGUGUCCUUGUCUAUUAGCGUACUUCAAAAGGAUCUCUUCAUGCCAUUCUUCAUGCAUCUUCAAUACCGCCCUGACAAUGAUUUCAUCUCUCCUAUCACUGCCGCGUGGACAGCAAACCCUUGUGACAUGGGCAACUCCAAAGCUCAGCGAAGAUAAGGUGAAGCAAUUGCGUUGAUGCUAAGUUAAAUGGAGAAUACCCUCCUAAGACAGUUGCAAAGGUACUGAAGAUGGUAAUUUCGGUUGAAAAUAAUGCAUCAAAUUCAAGCGUUCUUGGUGGAAGAGCAAAAGAUUGUGAAGAAGGUUUUGAAGAUCUAGAAGGCAAAGGAAAAGAAAGCUUCAAGGAGCUAGAAAGUGGGAGGAUGAAAGCAGAACUUUUUGGAUUUUAAGAAAUGAAUGAGAAAUUGGAAAAGUUGUUUUCUUUGUAUUGAAUUCUCUAUUUUUAUUGGGUUUGAAUUGACAAAAUUUCUUAUAUAUAUAUGCACUGUAAUUUUACAAUCUGGAUUCUU